CGGGUGUAGCUCAGUUGGUUAGAGCGCCAGAUUGUGGAUCUGGAGGUCGGGGGUUCAAUUCCCCUCACU
rnacentral:tRNA from 1 species